GUGAUGUCCUUCUUGACACUCCAAACAAUCCCAUUCUGCGUUGGCUCAGCCGUGCAGCCCCUGAGAAGCUCAAUGCCGCCGAGCCAAACCCCGAAAAUCCGAUCAAAUUGCGUCCCUUUGCAGGUGGCUUUCCACUCGAGCACAAUUUUGGAAAAUGAAUGAGAUGGGCAGUAGGAGGGAGGGGUGUAGUUAGCAAAGACUGGAGGUUUGCCGUAUGUGUACCCGAAGUCGUGCUGGAGAACGUGCUGGGUGCAGGGCUUGGUUUUGGGGAGUUCUAUGGGUUUGGUUAUUUCGAAGUAGAGAGUUGGUGCGGCAGCGUUUUGUGGGGUGGGUUGGGAGAGGAGCUCCGAUCGGAGAAGGUUAAUUUUGUGGACAUUGGCGGCGGAAAAGAGUGGUUGGUGGAGGAGGAGGAGGAGGAGGAGGAGGGCCAACGGAGAGGCCAUGAGUGACUCACCGGUGGUUGAGCUGUCUCUUGUUUUGGCGGGUUUUGCUUUGUUUUGGCGCUAUUAUUUAUAUGUAUUUAUUUGUUUGUAUUUUAUUAAGUUUCUUGGAGUAGAAAACAAUGGUGAGUUGGUGAUUCUAUAAACUGAAUUAAAUAAUUUCUUAAAUGUACUAUUUAAAUUCCAUCUACCAAAAAUAAGGGCGGAAUUAGAAUCCUUGAUUCUGAUUCGAUUCGUUCGAAAAUCAUCCCUUUUUAAUUGAAAAAUCAAAUUUAAUUUUUCAUUUACAUAAAGUCUUUGGAAUUAGUAAGUACUUAGAGCGCUGCUACCAAUAUAUCUAACUAAUGAGUGUGGUACCGAUAUAUUUAACCCACACUAGUAUAGCAGUAGUGUUAUUGAAAUCAAACUCAUGAUGCGUGAUUCUUAUAUAUAGGUAUCAUACCAACAAUAUGGUAUGAAAAAUAUGGUAAGAACAACAUUUUUUAUCGGUAAAUUGGACAUUCACUAAUUUUCAUAUGGGGUAAAAAUAAAAAAACAUUAUGUAAAUGGAGAAACAAAAGUGUAAAACAAUCGAAGGCGAUUUGAUUGAUGAGAUGAUAGCUCCACCAGAAGCGAAAGUUUAAAACAAUAUGACAGACCAAACCAAAUUGCACGCAACAUUGUAAGGGUAGUUCAUCAACAUUUUCAGUCUUAACGUUCGGCCGGCUUGAACGAGCCGGAGAACGAACUGUGAAAAUACUGCCAAACCGUGUCACGUUUCUCUAAUAAUAUGUUUGGACGAAGGACUUUUAAGGUGUCGUUUUAAAAAGUUCUCUCUUAUGAAACUUUCAAGUCAAACGUUCUAAAAACCGUGGAAAACUCUCACAAUGACUAAGGAGUUGGGUUAUAAAAGCUUUGAAGUUUGGUAUAAAAUUUCUAAAUUUUUUAGCAGUGCAAGAAACAUCAUAUUUUUCAUAAAAAGAUUUCUCAUUUCAUUACAUAAACUUAGAUUUACAAACAAAAUUACCUGAUAUUUACACGCAAGUUGAAAAAAUGUACUGCGAGGCCGAGAACGGGCUUGGUAUCGGACCCCUGCGAAACGGUGAGUUCGACGAAUCCGUGAAGGGUGAGACCAUGAAUCAUAUUGAGAUAACACAAGUUCACAUGAUCCAGUUUUCAGAAAUCAUUCAAUUCCAGGUAAAACCAGAACCAUUUUAAUGCAGAUACCUUAACUAGAUUCUUGAAGAGUACAUAAAAAUAAAAUUGAGUACAAAAUACUUACAUUUUUAUUUGAGGUACCAACAAACACGACUACACGAGCCCUCCGUAAAAUUUACCAAAGGAGUCCUUUUCUGCAGCAUAUGAAGAUGCAUCGAUACGAAUAAGCUAGGCACCGUCAUUGUUCUCAAGUAAAUCGGGGACCAGGAAAGUUACUUUGAGCACCAAAAGGCAACAGUGUGCUUAAGCCAAAAUCCAAAUUAGACUCCGGUUUUGUGGUGCACGUAAGCCUCACCAUAUCAUAGAGUAUGGUGUAGUUUGAGCUGCUUAUGUUUCUGAAGUAACAAGAUCUGGCACUAUCGAAUCUAUACACUUGCUGUGUACUCCCCAAUCCACUAGCUACCAAAUUGUUUUUUACAACCAUAUUACCCUCGGCAUUCUGCAGAUUUCUGAGAGAGCUGUUGGAGAAUCCUGAACCAGCACUUGCAGACUUCUUCUCAAUAAAUCCCAAUUCGACAUUUGUAACGAAUGUAUAUGAAUCAUUUGCUUGUUCCAAGUAGUCACUGUACAAGUAAAGAGAAAAAAUUUUGUUUGAUGACAUUGAGUGAACAGUGGAGGAUGGCGGCCUGAUAUGAACUGUAUCAUUGAAAUGGAUGAUCUGAUUCACUAUCUGCGUAUUACCAUCAUUCUUCAUGACCAUUGUAUUACUGUAAUGGAAGUCUUGAAUCGCAUCAGUUGUGAUAUUCCCGUAGGAGGACGUCACCCAUCCAGUCGAUGACACGGACCUGCCGGCCCUUGUCAAAAAUGUGCCAUUUAAACCCUUGAAAUCUGAAACCAAUGAAACAACAAGGGGCAAGCUACUAUGCUUUGAAAGCUCUCCUUCAGUUUUCGUGCUCUGCUUGUCCAACCAAAGAUGCAAAUUCGCGUCAACAUACCAAACAUUUAAGGCAUUUGUAACAUUAAAACCAAACUUGUGGCUCUUCCCAUCCAAUAUCUUCCCUAAAAAGGGAGUGAUUUCAAUAUCAUAAGGGAGAUCGAAUGAGCCAAUCGCAGUAAUUGGUCUCCACAGGAGCGGAUAGACCCCUCCGGUGAAAAUCACAGUAAAAGGCCAGACUGCACCAACAACCUCACCAUCUAAACUCACCACAACCUCCCUAAAAGGCCCGUUUCCAGGCGUACCGCUAAGAUUGUUUGCAGCAAUGUACUCAUUCGGAGGAUUUGAAUACCAAACUCAUCAUUCUCAUGAAAUGAAACAUACACCUCCAACACAGCCCUAUAAGCAUUCUGUGGAAUCUCAAAUUCCUUCAACUGUGUAUCGGUCGAAUUCUGGAUUUCAAACCACAACCCAUCAUUCAAAGGCAGAUUUCUCGAAAUGGGCAAGAUCAAAUCCGCCCAAGAAUGGUACCCAGAAUCCAAAUUUUCCAAAAUUCCCAAAUUUUGCUCAUAAUUAUAAUUCAAAUUCUUCUCAGCAGGGUAAAAAUGGAUGCUAAUAUUCACAUGGUAAAUCCCAGUGUAUGUUUUAUCUAUCAAAUUCCCAAGAUAAACAGCUAGUGUUUGAUUGUUCUGAAGCAAAGAAUAGUACCUUGUGAUGUCCUUCUCGACAAUCCAAACAAUCCCAUUCUGCGUCGGCUCAGCCGUGCAGCUCCUGAGAAGCUCAACGCCACCCAGCCAAACCCCAAAAAUCCGAUCAAAUUGCCUCCCUUUGCAGGUGGCUUUCCACUCGAGGACAAUUUUGGAAAAUGAUUGAGAUGGGCAGUAGGAGGGAGGGGUGUAGUUCGCAAAGACCGGAGGUUUGCCGUAUGUGUACCCGAAGUCGUGCUGGAGAACGUGCAGGGUGCAGGGCUUGGUUUUGGGGAGUUCUAUGGGUUUGGUUACUUCGAAGAAGAGAGUUGGUGCGGCGUCGUUUCGAGGGGUGGGCUCGGAGAGGAGCUCGGAUCGGAGGAGGUUGAUUUUGUGGACAUUGGCAGCAGAAAAGAGUGGUUGGUGAAAGAGGAGGAGGAGGAGGAGGGCCAACGGAGAGCCCAUGAGUGACUGGCUGGUGGUCGAGCUGUCUGUUGCUUCGGUGGGUUUUACUUUAUUUUGGUGCUCUAUUUAUGUAUUUAUUUAUAUUUCUUUGUUUCUGUUUUUAUUAAGUUUCUUGGAGUAGAAAACAAUGGUGAGUUUUUCUUGUUGGAGAAGACAAUGGUGAGUUAUUGAUUCUAUAAACUGAAUUAAAUAAUUUUUUGACUUUGCUAUUUGUUUUUUUUUUGUUCCAAAAAAAAAUAAUUAGGCUAGAGUUGAAAUUUUUUAUUCUAAUUUAAUUCGUUCGAAAAUCAUCAGGUUAGACAUUUUUAUUUGAAGAAUUCAAUUAAAACGUUCAUUUGCAUAUAGUUUUUCGAAUUAGUAAAUAGUGAGUACUUGAUUGAAAUGUUACCAAAUUUCUAAUUCCAAUAAUAAAUACAUUAAUCAAUUGUGAUAAUAAAGUGAGAAAUAGAAAUUGGAAUGUCUUGGAAAAACAUUGUCUCAUACAUUUGGAAGAGAGUGGACUGUCGCAAUUCAAGUGAAUCCAGAAGAAUUCUACGUGGCCCAAUAUCGUGAAUAUGGUAAGAUUUUUGGAAGUUUUAACGAAAAAUCUGCAGUACUGUUUACUUUAACAAAAAAUUAUAUUUUUACACUAAAAAGUCAAAUAUGGUACUAUUCACCUUAUCCUUUAUUUUGUCUUUAUCAUUAAAACUCAAAGUUUUCAAGUCAUUUUCAUUAGUUUUCUUAAGAUUUUUAUCACAAAUUGUCAUUGAAAUUGAUCAAAAUCAUCAUUUUGGUACCUUACUUCCAAAAUCAAUAUGUCGUCACUGUCAUUCACUAUUGCACAUCAAGUUGAUUAUUCUAUUAAGAUUCCAUCAACUAUUGUGUUAGUUUGUAUGUGGGACUCACAAAUCCAAUGAAAUAGUGAUGUGGAUUACACAAUAUAACGGUUUUUAUCGUAAAUGGUCCCUGACAUUGAUCAAACUCCUCAUUUUGGUCCCUGAGUUUCAAAAAUUGAUAAAUUUGCUGCAUGACUUUCAAUACCGCAUGUCAAUUUAAUCCUUCCAUUAAAGUUCUGUAAUAUUUUUUGUCACACUAAUCCAAUUAUACGACGCCAUGUGGAUUAACUACAAAAAAAUAAAUAGUUUUUUGAAGAUUUAAAACUAAAAGUAAAAUAAGAAACUAAACACCAAAACUAAAAGAAAAAAAGUCAUCGUCUUCUUGUAUGCUCAAAAAGAGUUUCUUAUAGUUAGUUAAUCCAUGUGGAGCCAUAUGAUUGGAUUAGUGGGACCACAUUACCACACAAACGAAAAAUAUUGAUGAAAUUUUAAAUGGAAUGACUAAAUUGAUAUGAUGUAGUGAAAGUCAAGGACCAAAUUUAUUGAUUUUUGAAACUCAUAUAUCAAAAUGAGGAGUUGGAUCAAUGUCAAGGAUUACAAUCCACGUGUCAUCAUUUCAUUGGAUUUGUGGGUCACACAUAACUAACUAAAUAGUUGACGGAAUCUUAACGAAAUGAUCAAAUUGAUGUGGGGUAGUGAAUGUCGGGGACUACAUUGAUUGAUUUUGAAAGUAAGAGACCAAGAUAAUGAGUUUGAUCAAUCUCAAAGACCAUUUAUGAUAAAAACCCAAUAAGGUAUUAGGUUUUAUUCAUGGGUCUUGAGUUCGAAAUUCUCCUCCCUACCGUAUAUAUAUAUAUAUAUAUAUAUAAGCAACCUGCAACAUAAAAUAAAAUAGCAAAAGGUUAGCUUCUUUAUGCUUCAAGAUUGUAUUAAAGUGCAAAUUCCGAGUUAGAAGUAAAAGAGGCGUGGCUACUUACAAAAAAAAAAAAAAAAAAAAAAAAAAGCGGGGGUGCAACUAGAAACAUAUCAAAAUUUUGUUCGAGCAAUGCAGUUGGACUCCAUGUUAUGCCUAGGGUAAGAUCCAACAAAUAAAAACUAUGCUUUAUGGUUUGAUAUUUUAAUUUAUAACUUGUGUUGUAGUUAGUUUUGGAAGUUAUUUUGUACCUUUCUGUGUUAUGGUUAAUAAAUUUUUGAUCGGAUGAUAUUUAUAUAUAUUUUUACUUCGAAUUCACUCGUCUUUUCUUAGUUAGUUCCUUAUAUUUUUAAGCUAUUUACGUUAUUUUUGUGUUUAUAGGAUUUGUUAUGCAAAGAAAAUAAAAAUAGAACAAGUGAAAUUUUAUGUAAUAAAUUCGUCAAAAGCAAAUUUAAAUUACAAUAUUGCUAAUCCAUUGUGACGCUAAAUGAUAAACCAAUAUUUAAACUAUAUAUUUUAUCAUUUUAUAAUUCUUUUCUUGUCUAAUUUAGUUGGAAGCUUUAAGUAUUUAUGAUACUUUUGAUAUAUUGUGUUUGUAGGAGUAACAUGAUCAAAAGAACUUAUUUUUCUGCUAUGUGGGGUUGCUAGAAACUAAAUGAAAAUAAAAGGAGACAGCUAAGAGGGAAUGAGUAAGCUGCCCUUGCAGCUUUGAAAAGUCAAAAGGAAAUGGCAUAAAAAAAUAACAAAAGGAGACGUGGGCGGAAAGAGCUGCCUGGCAGCUUUGAACAGCAAUAAAAAUAGAAGAGGGCAGCGUGGGGAAGAAAACAGCUGCCUAGCAGCGUGAGCAAGGCAGAGUCGCAGCAAGGCUGCCAGAGACGAAAAGGGGGAUUGACAGCAAGCAGAAAAGAGGAGCGGAAAAGAGUAACGUGGUAUGCGCAGAGAGAAGUGGACGGACAGCGCGGAGAAGAAUAAAAAAAAAGGGAAAUAUAAAUGAACUGGAAAGCAGAAGGCGCAUAAAAAAGAUAUAUAGAAGAGAGGGCAGAGAGCAGUGGGGAGGAGGUGAUUUUGGGGGGGGAAUUGGUGGAAGGCGGCAGAGGGCUGCCCUUUUGGGCAGCGUGAAGCUACGGAGAGAAGGGAAGCGUGAAGCUCGCAGACGUGGAGAGGGAGAGAGGUCAGGAGGUCAGCUCGCAGAGGCAGGAGAGGAGAUAGACACGGGGAGAAGGGAGAUUGACGGGCACAGUGAGAAGAAAAUUAGAGGCUUCACUCCAUUUCUCUCGGUUAAAUCUUUUCAAACUUCUAUUUUAUUUUUGUUUUAAUAAUGUGUAAUUAAAUUUAUUUUAGCUAGAGGUUAAUUCAAAGCCAUGAAUAUAUUUGUAAUAUGAAUUGAUUACCUUCGGUUGUGAUUUCAUAAGUUGUGAUUUCAAUUUACUUAUCCGUUCGUAUAAAAACUGAUUUGUGUAUGUUGGUUGAGAGUGCACGCUUAAUUUACAUGCAUGAAUUUGAUGCUAGAAUAUAAGUGAAUUUUCACCUAAUCGUUAUGAACUUAUUUUCACAAGUAGUAAAGGUUGCUAGUCACAAUCACGUUAAGUAAAUUCUUGGCAAGAGUAUCAUGCUUUUCAUAGUUACGAAUGCCUCGUCAAUGCUUAUAGUUUUCACAAAGUUUAAUGAUCUUUGAUUGUAUCUCUAUUGUGCUUUUCACGUAGGGGACUUUUGAAGAAUGUUUUGAAUUGUUGUAUGCGUUUUUCCGUCCAAUUCAAUAAACUUAAGGAAAACUUGAAGAUUAAAAAAGUGCUGUUCACGGUUAAUCUGGAGUAUUGAGAUUCACAAUUUAUUGAAAGAACAACUGAAAAUCAAUUUAGGUUGCAUAUGUGUCAUGUGUGGAGAAGAACCCUCUAGCUAGUCCGUCAUUUAUCAUUUUACCUUAAUUUUAUGUUUUUGUCAAUUCUGUAAUUUAAUUAAGUUUAAUUUACUUUUCAUCAAAACCAAACACCCAUCCAUUAUUAAAUUAUAUUAUUUAGUUAGUUUUCUUUAUUGUUAGUCUUUUAAUUUAAUUUCCGUCCAUUUCAGUUCCUAGUGUUUAAUUUAAUUGUUUUCAUUAUUUUGAGUCAUUUUAAGUGUGUUUCGAGUUAUUAGAGUUUUUAGCCUAAUUUUAUGUCCUUGAGUCUUAUUUAAUAUUUUUAAAUUAAUUUAGAAUAGAUUAGCAAUCCCUCCUAAUCCCCGGCCUAGAACGAUACCCUACUUACAUCUAUACUACAAUUGUCAAAAAGAGGGUUUAAUUUGUGUGCUUAUAUAUUUCGCAUCAAAUUUUGGCGCCGUUGCCGGGGAUCGAACCCGGGUCACCCGCGUGACAGGCGGGAAUACUUACCACUAUACUACAACUGUCAAAAAGAGGGUUUAAUUUGUGUGUUAAGUAAUUUUUCGCAUCAAAUUUUGGCGCCGUUGCCGGGGAUUAGUAACUUUGCUAAUCCCUUUAUUUUUGUUUUUGUUUAUGUUUAUAUUGGUGUUUGUGUAUUUUACUUUUGAUAUUUGAUUUAUUUUUCUUUCUUUGAUUUUAGGUUCAAAUGGAGCCGAGGGAAAUUUAAAGGAAAGAUGCGUCCGGCUAAAGACGUUAAAUCAAGCGCUUCUUGGGAGGCAACCCAAGCAUUCAACGAAGGGAGACUUUGGAAUCGCUAACCCAAUCAGCUUUGCAUUCUUCCAACCUUAUCUUUACUGCUUUCAAUUUGUUUUGUUUAGUUAGUUGUGUUAUUUGGUUGAUUUCUGUGAGUUUGUGUUAUUUAGUUUAAGUGUGGGGGAAAGGUUAACCAAAGUCUCUUUACAUUAAUUUACAUUUAAAAAAGAAAAAAAAAAAAAAAAGAUAAAAUUUAAAAUUAAUGAUAAAAAAAAAUUACAUAAAAAAAAAAAAAAUUUAAAAAUUUAAAAAAAAAAAAAAAAUUUUUUUAAAAAAAAAAAAGUACAAAUAUUUUACAAUAAUGUAAACUAAUAGUAUUCAUUGGUCGGGUGGUGCUUCGGUAGUAGGCGGGGCUUCAGCAGUCGGCGGGGCCACAGAAGGAGGAGGCAGCAGAGGUUGAUCAGUUGGAGCUUCACUACGCGGUGCCGCUCCAGAAGACGAAGGCAGAUGCGGUUGGAACAAACCCACAAACCUCCGAUGAUCAAGUAAAAUUUGACCAUCGGUGUCCUGCAUCUGGUCAAUCUUUCUCUUCAUGCUGGUGGCAUAAUUGUGUGCAAGCUUGUGCAAUUGUUUAUUUUCAUGCUUGAGUCCUCUAAUCUCCUCUCUUGAGACACUCUGUAUUUCAGCCACCAACGAUUCAACGUGACGGGUUCGAGCAAAUAGACGUUGGGCCAUGUUGGAUACGGAACCGGCGCACUGCACGCUAAGUGCCAGAGACUCCUUAACCGCCAAUUCAUCAGACCGCCUAGCGAGCAGUCUGUUAUCUCUGGGGGUGACAAGAUUCCGGGCCACCACCGCAGCAGUCAUGUCAUUUUUCAUCACCGAAUCCCCCACGGUAAGAGGACCGGUAGGGGAUAUGAAGGAUGGGCGCCAUAUAUUGUCUGGUGAAGGCGGAGCUGCCUCUUCACCAAUGUUCAAGUCAAAAUGACGAUCGGAAGGGCCAGACAUUUUUCAGAGGUGGUGAAGAAAGAAGAGAGUCGGAAUGAUCAAGAUUAAACAAGUGCAAGAAGGGAGUGUUUACAGGAGGGUGCUCAAGUGUGUUGUGGAACAAGCUUAACGCCUCUAUAAAAAGAAGAAAUCGGAGAGGCGCUCCUCAGAGAAGCGUCAUCUCGCAAAUCGAAGAGUCGGGGCUCCUUUCUCAAAAGCCGGAUUCUUUUCUCAAAAGAGGAGUUUCCGUUCUCAAAAACCGGAUUCUUUUCUCAAAAAGAGGCGUUUCAUUUCUUAAAGGCUGGGCUUGCUCAGAAACAAUGAGCCGAACCCCGGAUUUUCAAAAGAUCAAUUUGUCCAGACGUGUCGUCACUUGUCACACGCAAAUUGCUUUGCGAAAUUCUCGGGCAGUUUGUCGAAGCACCAAUUCAGAAAUCGAAGAGGGAAAUUCAACAGUCAAAAAGACACGCUAGCUUUCUCAAAAGCUGGGCUUCAAACCCACGGGCAAAUCUUCUUUUCCAGAUUUAUCCGCACGUGUCACAUGCUACCUCUACAAUCGACGAUGCUCAGAGCUCGAAGCGCCGAUUCCAGAUACCAAUGAGGAAUCUGCUUUGCGGAAAUUACGGGCAGCUUUGUCAGAAAGCGCGUAAUUUGUACUAUUCAUCCAUCUACCGGCUGCCGACAAUGAGUGAGAGAAUAGUUCCGGUUGUGAAGAAAAGUCCUAUAAGUAUUUACCUUCGCCUUCCACAGCAAAGGCACACCCUCUCAGCACUUCUUCAUCUCUGAAAAUGCAUUCCCAAAGAAUCCUCCUAAGUCACUCUGUAUUCCUCAUUCCCUGGGAUACCCUUGCUAACAACCCAUCCAGAGCAAAAGUAUUUCAUAUCAUAAAGGUUGAAAGCAAGAGUAUCUCAUAUCAUGCAUUCUCCAUGUCCUUUUCCUUGUCUUUGUUCUAACCUGCAGGACAUGGAGAAAUUGCUCUCGAGUACUCGUCUUCCACUGCUGAUGUACUUCCAAAGAAGCUGCCACAUCUACCUGAAGAACAGAUAAGGCAAGCGAAAAUGACACCAGCAGCAUGUGGAGACAACGUACAGAAGAAACAAGCAGAGAAGAAUGCAGCUUGCGCAAUCAUCCCAGCGGAAGGAGUCUGAGAUGAAGAACAAGAGAAGCUGCCACAUCUGCUUGGAGAACAAAUAAGGAACUGCAACAUUCCCAAAGAGCAAAGCCUUGCAGUACAAUAGCAUAAAAUCAUCACUUGCAAGUGAAAAGCUAAGUGUCACCCUGUUCAAGAGGAAAGCUGUGGAAAGUCAACAAGCACGACCAAUGAUUACUUAUUAGUUUUAUUCAUUAUCUUUUAUCGUAAUUUUCAAUUUUUCGUUUGCAAUUUUUUUUUUUUAAUUAAUUUUCUUGCGUUACUUAACUGAAUUAUUUCUUUUCUUUGCAGGAACUUUUGGUUAUUUCCACCCUUGAAGUUGAUUGCAGAAUUUUAGCUUGGGGGUCAUCGCUUGAUUUUACUGCAAAUUAGGGAAGUUUUCAGUCCAAUUGCGUUAUUUUGUUUCUUAUUAUUAUUAUUAUUAUUAUUUUUUUUUUUUAUUAUUUGCAUUAUAGUGUUUUCUGACAUUGGGGACAAUGUCAAGUUUAAGUGUGGGGGUAGAAAUCUCUAGAAUUUCAUUUGUUUCUGUGUUGUUAGUUUUUGUUUUCUUAAAAAAAAAAAAAAAAAAAAAAAAUCGGAAAAUUUAAAAAAAUCCAAAAAUAUUGUCUUGUUUCCCUUAUUGUUUUGAAUUAGAUUUUUUGUUAGUUUCCCUACCCAAUGAUAUAAUUGGAUCAAAUUUGAACCAUGAUCAUCAAGAACUUAGUUAACAUGUGUUUUGUGAAAUUCCUAAUUCUCUUGUUAGUUUUGUACAUGUUUGAUCAUCUUUGAAAAACCAAAUGCACAUAGCCUUGUUGAUGUGAAACUAAAGUAUGAAUUAAAACUUCAUAUGUGAAUUUAGUGACCAUAUACAUCCUAUGUGAGUUUUUGAGCCUAUUGAAAGUGUGUGCAUUUUUCAUACACUCCUAUUCUUUUCAUGUGUGAUGAACUUAUGUGAGAUACAUCUCUAGAACUUGCGUAACGAUCUUUCGAAAUGUUUGUCAUUGAUUGCAUGAACUUGGAAAUGAUAGAGGCAUUAGGUUUACCACCAUGGCUCAAAUAACCAUGUUUCCCAAAGAAAAAUGAUAUCAUUAGAUUACCAAUUUGAGCCGUGUAUGUUGAGCCUUUUAUUUCUUAUCACCAGAUAUGCAUACCCUUAUACCUGAAACAUUUUUCCUUACCCUUUCCAAGCGAGCAUUGCGAGAUUGUCUUAUGAGAAACGUUUGUGAAGUACUGUGAAGAUGUUUAGCAAAAGAUUAAGUGUGGGGGUAUUUCAUGUUUGUAUUAAAAAAAAAAAAAAAAAAAAAAAAAAAAAAAAAAAAAGAAAAAGAAAAAGAAAAAGAAAGAUUGUAUACGAAGAAAAAAAAAAAGAAGAAAAAAAAAAGAAAAUAAAAAGUUUUUUUUAAAAGUUUCAGUUUAAGGGUAUGGUUGGAGGUGCUAGAAGAAUCGCUGAAAAAAUUGAGUUCUUAUAAAUCUAAACAAAAGAAUUGCUUGCAAUAUAGCUUGGAACUUGUGUUUUCCUAUUCUUUCAUUUCAAUAACCCUAUCCCUAAGCCUCAUUACAUCCAAUAAAAGUCCUCUUGAUUUAAGUUUUGCAAUUAUGACUGUGGAGAAGUGAUCUUUAUGCAAGCUUAUGGUAGAAAUUUCACAUUUGUUUCUUUGAGCGAAACACAUUAAAACUAAACACAUGUGUGAUUGAGUGCAUAUCCCGUGAGAAGGUCACUAGUUUGCAUAUGAUGAUUUUAAAAAUAAAAACUUGAAAUUGCAUUAGCAUGGCUAUCUCACACACUACACUUCAAGGAUGAUUUGAAGACUACUGCUAAUAUUUGAAUAAGGAAGAUGAACUUGGAUUAGUUCCUUGAUGCUAGCUAUGGUUCUUGAUGAUUUGUUUUCUUAAAUGAAAUUCUAUGAGGGUCAGAUAGGGAGAAACUAAUGUUUUUCUUGUUACUUCUUGUUCUUGUUUUCUUUGUUUUGCUCGAGGACUAGCAAAAGUUAGUGUGGGGGUAUUUGAUCGGAUGAUAUUUAUAUAUAUUUUUACUUCGAAUUCACUCGUCUUUUCUUAGUUAGUUCCUUAUAUUUUUAAGCUAUUUACGUUAUUUUUGUGUUUAUAGGAUUUGUUAUGCAAAGAAAAUAAAAAUAGAACAAGUGAAAUUUUAUGUAAUAAAUUCGUCAAAAGCAAAUUUAAAUUACAAUAUUGCUAAUCCAUUGUGACGCUAAAUGAUAAACCAAUAUUUAAACUAUAUAUUUCAUCCUUUUAUAAUUCUUUUCUUGUCUAAUUUAGUUGGAAGCUUUAAGUAUUUAUGAUACUUUUGAUAUAUUGUGUUUGUAGGAGUAACAUGAUCAAAAGAACUUAUUUUUCUGCUAUGUGGGGUUGCUAGAAACUAAAUGAAAAUAAAAGGAGACAGCUAAGAGGGAAUGAGUAAGCUGCCCUUGCAGCUUUGAAAAGUCAAAAGGAAAUGGCAUAAAAAAAUAACAAAAGGAGACGUGGGCGGAAAGAGCUGCCUGGCAGCUUUGAACAGCAAUAAAAAUAGAAGAGGGCAGCGUGGGGAAGAAAACAGCUGCCUAGCAGCGUGAGCAAGGCAGAGUCGCAGCAAGGCUGCCAGAGACGAAAAGGGGGAUUGACAGCAAGCAGAAAAGAGGAGCGGAAAAGAGUAACGUGGUAUGCGCAGAGAGAAGUGGACGGACAGCGCGGAGAAGAAUAAAAAAAAAAGGGAAAUAUAAAUGAACUGGAAAGCAGAAGGCGCAUAAAAAAGAUAUAUAGAAGAGAGGGCAGAGAGCAGUGGGGAGGAGGUGAUUUUGGGGGGGGAAUUGGUGGAAGGCAGAGGGCUGCCCUUUGGGCAGCGUGAAGCUACGGAGAGAAGGGAAGCGUGAAGCUCGCAGACGUGGAGAGGGAGAGAGGUCAGGAGGUCAGCUCGCAGACGCAGGAGAGGAGAUAGACACGGGGAGAAGGGAGACUGACGGGCACAGUGAGAAGAAAAUUAGAGGCUUCACUCCAUUUCUCUCGGUUAAAUCUUUUCAAACUUCUAUUUUAUUUUUGUUUUAAUAAUGUGUAAUUAAAUUUAUUUUAGCUAGAGGUUAAUUCAAAGCCAUGAAUAUAUUUGUAAUAUGAAUUGAUUACCUUCGGUUGUGAUUUCAUAAGUUGUGAUUUCAAUUUACUUAUCCGUUCGUAUAAAAACUGAUUUGUGUAUGUUGGUUGAGAGUGCACGCUUAAUUUACAUGCAUGAAUUUGAUGCUAGAAUAUAAGUGAAUUUCACCUAAUCGUUAUGAACUUAUUUUCACAAGUAGUAAAGGUUGCUAGUCACAAUCACGUUAAGUAAAUUCUUGGCAAGAGUAUCAUGCUUUUCAUAGUUACGAAUGCCUCGUCAAUGCUUAUAGUUUUCACAAAGUUUAAUGAUCUUUGAUUGUAUCUCUCUAUUGUGCUUUUCACGUAGGGGACUUUUGAAGAAUGUUUUUGAAUUGUUGUAUGCGUUUUUCCGUCCAAUUCAAUAACUUAAGGAAAACUUGAAGAUUAAAAAAGUGCUGUUCACGGUUAAUCUGGAGUAUUGAGAUUCACAAUUUAUUGAAAGAACAACUGAAAAUCAAUUUAGGUUGCAUAUGUGUCAUGUGUGGAGAAGAACCCUCUAGCUAGUCCGUCAUUUAUCAUUUUACCUUAAUUUUAUGUUUUUGUCAAUUCUGUAAUUUAAUUAAGUUUAAUUUACUUUUCAUCAAAACCAAACACCCAUCCAUUAUUAAAUUAUAUUAUUUAGUUAGUUUUCUUUAUUGUUAGUCUUUUAAUUUAAUUUCCGUCCAUUUCAGUUCCUAGUGUUUAAUUUAAUUGUUUUCAUUAUUUUGAGUCAUUUUAAGUGUGUUUCGAGUUAUUAGAGUUUUUAGCCUAAUUUUAUGUCCUUGAGUCUUAUUUAAUAUUUUUAAAUUAAUUUAGAAUAGAUUAGCAAUCCCUCCUAAUCCCCGGCCUAGAACGAUACCCUACUUACAUCUAUACUACAAUUGUCAAAAAGAGGGUUUAAUUUGUGUGCUUAUAUAUUUCGCAUCAAUUUUCUUGUGCCGUCAAGGGUUCGUAAAAAACUAUAAGAACCAGCCUACUAAUUAGUGGCUUAUGCAAGCUUUUUGAAUUCGAUUGUAACACUUUUCCUCGGAGCUUCAUGAACAUCCCUAAUCAUUCUCGUUCUAGUCCAUUCACCAUAGCUAGCCACUCCCCCACUAGCAGUAGGUGCAGAGCACUCAAGACUAGCAUGCCCAAUUUUUCCACAAUUAUAGCAGAAGUCCUGCAGUCUUUCGUAUUGAAACUCAACCCAUGACUCGUUGUGUCCUUCCCGAGUAACCCAUCAUCCACUUGCUAGGGAUAUGGUAGUGUCUACCAGUACCCGAAUCCUAAGGAAACCCCUAGCUUUGGAUAUGUCCUCGACCUCCAGCAGCUCACCACAUCUACUUGCUAGGCGACUUAUGUUUUCUGUAGAGCACAGACGCGGUGGAAUACCUUUCAUCUGAACCCAAAAAGGAACCAAAUGCAUCGGGAUUUCUUCCAUUGCAAGCUCAUCAACCCAUCUUUUAACAGAGAGGUUUUGUUUCAUCACAGCCCAAGGCACCAUUUCCAGGAUUUUUGAUGCUAUAUUCUCAUCACGAACCAGAAUCACAUACAAAUUACCGUGAACCCAGUUGAUAUGAAUCUCCCCAUAUUCUUUCCAAGCACUCUUCAGGAUGUUUUUUACCCCCCAUUUAUUAAGCUGUUGGUCCACCAAAAUCUUAGCUAUCAGUUUGACUCCACUUUCCAUAUUUGAAAUCUCCAUGCCACUAGCCAAUUGAACAGCCAGAUCUUCCACUUCGUUUGUCAUCUUCUCUCUGAACCACUUUGUCUUAGUUCGCUGGAUACCUGGGGCACCAAAUUUCUUUCUCAGACUACCCACCCACUGGAUAUUCCAAUAUUCCUGAUUUCUACUGCAGAUAGCAAAAGGAAUAGACCCACUGGUGCACAGGUUGGUGACAGCAUAGUAAAUGCUCUCUCUUUUAUUCACAGCGUAGUCCUUUCCAAAGUUGCCUUUAAAUUUCUUACUAGUUUGUUGGGUUCCAUUAAUCUCCUACCAUUUGUCUCAUAAAUACCCCCCAUCAAUUCAAGGUUAGGAGACUCCUCCAUCAAGCCGUCGUUGGCAGGCCUCUCUAUCAGUACCUGACCUCCAAAUCUCAUUAAUAGCCAGAAACCCAACCCUCCUCUGUAUUCAGUAUUAAUGACAGCAAGUGUAGUACUGAACGUACCUCGAUCGGCCCACCUCCUCUCUAGAUCCAUGUACCACUGAGGGCAGAAGGCAAUUGUAGCCAGUUGCACCAUGCUGAUCAGGAAAGCCAACCUUUUAUUGACCACCUCGCAGUUCCACAUGGGAAAGAUGGCAACCCACGAGGUGAAAGCUCUAUUUAAUUGCAAAACCCACCUUCUUGAAGUAAGAAUUGAAAGCUUCCAAACCACACAAAAAAAAAGUUCAAGACCAAUUAGGGUUAACGCAGCUAAACCCCCAAACAAGAACCAAAACUAAGGCAUAAACAAAAACACCCGGACCGCAAGGACGAAGAACGAAAUUGCAAACAGCGCUGGGAACCCACAAGAGCUACCACUCACAAGGAGGGAAACACUCUCACAGAGGAGAGAACGCUCUCACGGAGGAGAGAACUACUGGUAUGGUUAUCAUGUUGUUUGAAUUUGUGAUGCAUUAUAUCUUAUAUCUAUACAUUCAAUACAUAUAUAUACACACACACAUUUUGAACUGUUGCUAACUAUUAGUAGCAAUAUAAUUGGUGUGGUCUACAUGUAUAACCAAAGUCCUUUAUUGCCACAUGUCGGUAAGAACCUCCCACAAAUGUGUCCUAUGUCUUACAUGGCCGGUCCCAAGCCCGGAUAAAGGAGGAGGGGGAGGGCGUCAGGUAGUCGACAGCCGGCACUCCAUGAUCACGUCGAAUCCUUAUGAAAAUGAAUCCAGAACAAAAUCGCGCUAAAGCUAGGGCGUCACCCGUAAGUGGCGCGCUGUGUGGCCCGAGCACAGUGAUAAGUGAGCAAGGGUCGCUGUAUCUCCAUCGGCACCCGGAUGCAGUGUUAAAUGAGCAAGGGGGCCAUAGAAACUUCUUUUCGAACGACUCCACUCAAAGUUGUUUGGGAGCAUAUGCUCCUAUCAACUUUACCCGGGACACACAAAAGAAGUACUUUGAUCCUAUUAGACGGGGGAGGGUGAAGAAGCUAGGACAGAAGGGUAGAGUUCAAGAGAGCAAAAUGCGUUUAGGAACGUGGAAUAUAGGAACCUUAACGGGAAAAUCUAUGGAAGUAGUGGAAGUUAUGGUGAGGAGAAGGAUAAAUAUUAUGUGCCUACAAGAAACUAAGUGGGUUGGUAGUAAGGCAAAGGAUCUAGAAAACUCAGGGUUUAAACUUUGGUAUUCGGGCACAAAUAGAACGAGAAACGGUGUUGGCAUCAUCGUGGACAAGACCUUGGUACAAGAUGUUGUAGAUGUCAAGAGGGUAGGAGAUAGAAUCAUGGCAAUCAAGAUUGUAAUAGGACAAGAACUUAUCAAUGUGAUUAGUGCGUACGCACCUCAAGUAGGGUUGGAUACGAGUUCGAAGGAGAAAUUUUGGGAAGAUCUUGGAGACUUGGUGCAAGGAAUUGCUCAGACGGAGAAGUUAUUUAUAGGAGGAGAUUUAAAUGGACACGUGGGCAGGGAGACAGGCAACUAUGGAGGUUUUCAUGGUGGCCAUGGUUUUGGGGAGAGAAACGAGGAUGGGGAAGCUAUCUUGGAUUUUGCAAUGGCAUAUGAUCUCUUCUUAGCCAACACCUUCUUUAAGAAGAGAGAAGAACAUGUGAUCACCUACAAGAGAGUGGGUCGUCAAAAACACAAAUAGAUUUUCUUCUAAUGAGGAAAGGGGAUCGUAUAACUUGUAAGGAUUGCAAAGUUAUACCAGGAGAGAGCGUGGCUAAUCAACAUCGCUUGUUGGUGAUGGAUGUACAUAUCAAAAGAGUAAGACAAAAGAACAAGACUUGGAAGUGCCCAAGGACUAGAUGGUGGAAUCUAAAGAAGAAAAACAAGCCAUUUUCAAAGAGAAAGGUAAUCACCCAAUGUGUGUGGGAUAGAGAGGGGGAAGCUAGCCAAAUGUGGGAUUCCAUGGCUAGUUGUAUCCGAAAAGUAGCAAAAGAGGUAUUAGGAGAGUCCAAGGGCUUUGCCCCACACCAAAAGGAAUCUUGGUGGUGGAAUGAGGAGGUACAAACAAAGGUGAAGGCUAAGAAGGAAUGUUGUAAAGCCUUAUACAAGGAGAGGACCGAUGAAAAUGGUGAAAGGUAUAGAAAAGCGAAGCAAGAGGCGAAGAAAGCUGUCAGAGAAGCUAAGUUAGCGGCUUACGACGAUAUGUAUAAACGACUAGAUACCAAAGAAGGAGAGUUGGAUAUCUAUAAACUAGCUAGAGCAAGGGAAAAGAAGACAAGGGACCUAAACCAAGUGAGGUGCAUCAAGGAUGAGGAUGGAAAGGUUCUUGCUACAGAGAACGCGGUUAAAGACAGAUGGAGAGGUUAUUUUCAUAAUCUUUUCAAUGAAGGACAUGAAAUGAGUGCUUCUUUAGGGGAGUUGAGUAACUCAGAAGAGUGUAGAAACUACUCUUUUUAUCGUCGAAUCCGGAAGGAAGAAGUGGUUGUAGCUUUGAAGAAGAUGAAGCAUAAAAAAGCAAUAGGCCCAGACGAUAUACCAAUCGAAGUGUGGAAACUUUUGGGAGAGACAGGUAUAACAUGGCUCACUGACCUUUUCAAUAGGAUUUUGAAAACGAAGAAGAUGCCAAAUGAGUGGCGAACGAGCACUUUGGUGCCUAUCUACAAGAAUAAGGGCGACGUACAAAAUUGCAUGAACUAUAGGGGUAUUAAGCUAAUGAGUCAUACAAUGAAGCUCUGGGAGAGAGUCAUUGAGCAUAGAUUGAGGCAAGAGACACACGGGUUUCGGACAACCAAUUCGGGUUCAUGCCAGGGCGCGCUCAACCAUGGAGGCAAUCUAUCUCUUACGAAGAUUGAUGGAAAGAUAUAGAGAUGGGAAAAAGGAUUUACACAUGGUCUUUAUAGAUUUGGAAAAAGCGUAUGAUAGGGUCCCAAGAGACAUUCUUUGGAGGAUUUUAGAGAAGAAAGGAGUACGAGUAGCAUAUAUCCAAGCUAUAAAGGAUAUGUAUGAAGGAGCAAAGACUGCCGUAAGAACUCAUGAAGGACAAACCGAAAGCUUUCCCAUAACUGUAGGAUUACAUCAAGGCUCAUCCUUAAGUCCUUACCUUUUUGCGUUGGUAAUGGAUGAGUUAACAGGACAUAUUCAAGAUGAUAUUCCUUGGUGUAUGCUUUUCGCAGACGAUAUAGUGUUGAUAGAUGAAACUCAGGAAGGGGUAAAUGCAAAGCUUAACCUUUGGAGAGAAGUGUUGGAAUCUAAAGGUCUUCGCCUAAGCCGAUCAAAGACAGAAUAUAUAUGGAGUGCAAGUUCAGUGCAAAUGGAGGCCAAAACGAGUUAGGGGUGAGGAUCGGAGAUCAAGAAAUACCAAAGAGCGACCGUUUUCGUUACCUAGGAUCUAUCUUGCAAAAGAACGGAGAAUUAGAUGGAGAUCUCAACCAUAGAAUACAAGCUGGAUGGAUGAAGUGGAAGAGUGCAUCCGGCGUGUUGUGUGACCGCCGUAUGCCACUGAAGCUCAAGGGAAAAUUUUAUAGGACGGCAAUAAGGCCGGCGAUGCUGUAUGGCACAGAAUGUUGGGCGGUGAAACAUCAACACGUACACAAAAUGGGUGUAGCGGAGAUGAGGAUGCUUCGUUGGAUGUGUGGGCACACGAGAAAGGAUAAGAUUAGGAAUGAGGAUAUCCGGGGUAAAGUAGGAGUAGCCGAAAUUGAAGGAAAGAUGAGAGAAAAUCGGUUACGGUGGUUUGGACAUGUGCAAAGAAGGCCUACUGACGCUCCGAUUAGAAGAUGCGACUAUGGGACAGAGGUUCAGGGCCGAAGGGGUAGAGGAAGACCUAGGAAAACUUUGGAAGAGACUCUAAGAAAAGACUUAGAGUACUUGGAUCUAACGAAGGACAUGACACAGGAUCGAGCACAAUGGCGUUCUAAGAUUCAUAUAGCCGAUCCCACUCAGUGACUUGGAUUUUCCAAGUCUCCAACCGAGAAGUUUUCCUCACUCGGAAAAUUAAGGGAACACUACCCCAACCUACAUGCUCCACUCAGAAAGCUUCAACAUACAAGCUUCAACAAAAGAAAAUUCAAAGAACUUAGCGAAGAAGGCUUUGGUGUAUUUAACACAAUACGUUGAAAUGAAGGAAAGCUUAUUUAUUGAUAUCCCCGAUAAGCUACAAAUAUGUACAUAUACAUGAGUCAAAAUAAACAACACAAGAGGGAGCCUUCACAAAGGUUGCUUAGGAGAAGUCUCAGCAGUCGGUAGAGCCCCAGAAAGAGAAGGCACCGGAGGGGGAUCAUUUGGAGCCUCAGUACUGGACAGAACCCUAGAAGGAGGAGGCAUCAGAGGUUGAUCAUUUGGAGCUUCAUUACGCGGUACAGCCCCAGAAGACGAAGGCAAUAAAUGCCUUUGGAACAAACCCACAAAUCUCUGAUGAUCAAGUAAAACCUGACCAUCAGUUUCCUUCAUCUGGUCAAGCUUCCUCUUCAUGUUUGUAGCAUAGUCAUGUGCGAGCCGGUGCAACUGUUUAUUCUCAUGCUUGAGCCCUCUAAUCUCCUGUUUGAGACUCAUCACUUCAGCCGCCAAUGAUUCAACUUGGCGGGUUCGAGCAAAUAGGCGUUGGGCCAUAUUAGACACAGAACCUGCACACUGAACACACUGAGAGCCAGCGAAUCCUUAACAGCUAACUCAUCAGACCGUUUGGAAAGUAGUCUGUUAUCUUUGGGAGUGAGAAGGUUCCUGGCCACCACCGCAGCGGUCAUAUCAUUCUUCAUCACGGAAUCCCCAACGGUAAGAGGACCAGUAGGGGAGACGAAGGAUGGGCGCCAUAUGUUGUCUGGAGAAGGCGGGGCUGCCUCUUCAACAAGGUUCAAGUCAAAACGACGGUCGGAGGGGCCAGACAUUUUCAAAGGUGUUGAAGAGAGAAGAGGUCGGACAAAUCAAGAUCUUAGAAGUGCAAGAAUGAAGCUUCUACUGGUGGAGAUUCAAGUGUGCUUUGGAACUUAAUGCCAGCCCCUAUAAAAAUCUGCACUCGACGGAGCUUCAGAAAUCGAAGAGGCGCCUGCUCAGAAAUCGAAGAGGCGUUUGCUUUCUCAAAAGCUGGGCUGCUUAGAGAUCACGAGGGUUGAUCUCAGAAAUCGAAGAGGCGUUUGCUUUCUCAAAAGUUGGGCUGCUCAAAGACCACGAAGGCCGAUCUCAGAAAUCGAAGAGGCGCUCGCUUUCUCAAAAGCUGGGCUCCCCAGAGACCACGAGGGCCGAUCUCAGAAAUCGAAGAGGCACCUACUUUUCCAGCCUUGUCAGCACCUGUCACACGCACACUCAGCUUUGCGGAAAUUAUGGGCAUUCUGUCGAAGACUUCUGGGGAAGUAGAAAACACAUGAAUCUUACUGUUCAAUCACCCACUUCCCACACGCAACAAUAGCUCAUGGGUACCACAGAUAACUUUGCCAAAGUUCUCUGCCAAAGUUGAGCACGUGAAGCUUGCAGCUCCCACUACAUCGCUCUGACCAAGAAGGGUAAAAGAAUAGCAAAGAAACAGCACUAACAAAGUUUAGACCCAUAAAUUUUGAAGGUCUAGCUACCAUAUUAUUACCCACAAGGGUAAAGGAACAGUACCACUGCUGGAUAAUUGGAAAGUCCCUGUGUGUCAACCUCUGUGCUUCGUGGCAAGGUAGACUAGCAAACAUGCCCAACCUUUACUCACAUUCGAGAAAACACUCCCAAUAAGAUUGCUUGCUCCAAAAUCGAAGAGGCACCGUCCUCCGAAUCUCGAGAGCCAGACUACUUUUCUUAAAAAUCGAAGAGAGGGUAAAGGAACAGUACCAUUGCUGGAUAAUUGGAAAGUCCCUGUGUGUCAACCUCUGUGCUUCGUGGCAAGGUAGACUAGCAAACAUGCCCAACCUUUACUCACAUUCGAGAAAACACUCCCAACAAGAUUGCUUGCUCCAAAAUCGAAGAGGCACCGCCCUCCGAAUCUCGAGAGCCAGACUCCCAACAUGAUUACUUUCUCAAAAAUCGAAGAGACACUGCUCCCCGAAUCUUCGAGAGCCAGACCCCCAGCAUGAUUGCUUUCUCAAAAAUCGAUGAGGCAUCGUUCUCCGAAUCAAUCGAAGAGGCGCUCGCUUUCUCAAAAGCUGGGCUGCUCAGAGACCACGAGGGCCGAUCUCAGAAAUCGAAGAGGCACCUACUUUUCUAGCCUUGUCAGCACCUGUCACACGCACACUCAGCUUUGCAGAAAUUAUGGGCAUUCUGUCGAAGACUUCUGGUGAAGUAGAAAGCACAUGAAUCUUACUGUUCAAUCACCCACUUCCCACACGCAACAAUAGCUCAUGGGUACCACAGAUAACUUUGCCAAAGUUCUCUGCCAAAGUUGAGCACGUGAAGCUUGCAGCUCCCACUACAUCGCUCUGACCAAGAAAGGUAAAAGAAUAGCAAAGAAACAGCACUAACAAAGUUUAGACACAUAAAUUUUGAAGGUCUAGCUACCAUAUUAUUACCCACAAGGGUAAAGGAACAGUACCACUGCUGGAUAAUUGGAAAGUCCCUGUGUGUCAACCUCUGUGCUUCGUGGCAAGGUAGACUAGCAAACAUGCCCAACCUUUACUCACAUUCGAGAAAACACUCCCAACAAGAUUGCUUGCUCCAAAAUCGAAGAGGCACCGUCCUCCGAAUCUCGAGAGCCAGACUCCCAACAUGACUACUUUCUCAAAAUCGAAGAGAGGGUAAAGGAACAGUACCAUUGCUGGAUAAUUGGAAAGUCCCUGUGUGUCAACCUUUGUGCUUCGUGGCAAGGUAGACUAGCAAACAUGCCCAACCUUUACUCACAUUCGAGACAACACUCCCAACAAGAUUGCUUGCUCCAAAAUCGAAGAGGCACCGCCCUCCGAAUCUCGAGAGCCAGACUCCCAACAUGAUUACUUCCUCAAAAAUCAAAAUCGAAGAGACACUGCUCUCCGAAUCUCGAGAGCCAGACCCCCAGCAUGAUUGCUUUCUCAAAAAUCGAAGAGGCAUCGUUCUCCGAAUCUCGAGAGCCAGAUACCACAGACCACUUUUUCAAAGUGCUCUGACAGAGUUAAAACAUGUGAAACUGGCAGCUCCCACUACCGUGCUAUGACCAAGCAGGGUAAAGGAAUAGCAUUACUACUUGUUGUUAGGGAGACUCCUAUAUAUGUCGACCUCCAUCCCCAACGGACAGGCAGACCUGCAAAAAUGCUCAACCCUUCAUCAUAUCUGAGAGGGCACUCCCAACGAAGCCUUUCGAAAUAUUCAGCUUUCUUUCCCCCCGAUAAUACCUCUGCAAACAAGCUAUACUAGAGCAAGAAUAUCUCAUAUCAUCAGGGUUAAAAGCAAGAGUAUCCCAUAUCAUGCUUUUUUCCCUGUCUUUUCCUUUGGCCUUGUUUUUACCUGCAAGACAAGGAGAAAGAGAGCAAUCAGUCAGCACUUGGAAUCAAGCUUCCAGCCAGGAACUGACUGCCUGGAACCCCUUACCUGAUUACUUACCUGGCAUUGCUCUCGAGUACUCAUCUUCAACAUCUUAUGUUUCCAGGGAAGAUUCCGCAUCUGCUUGAGGAACAGAUAGGGCAAGUGCGAAGGAUACAAGGAAGCAUGUGGAGACAAGCGUAACAGCACACGUGCCGAUACAUCCAUUACUCUGUCAAAAGCAAAAGUAUCCCAUAUCAGCAGGGUGGAACGUACUCUAGAUUUGAUGGACUUGUUUUGACCCUCAAAUUCUUCAGUCGGCCUUAUACUCUGGAGGAAACCAGAAAACCCUCCAGCUCAGUUCAAGAAUAAGCCUGUGGAAAGUUACUUCUUCAAAAGCAAAAGUAUCUCAUAUAUCAUCUCUUUCUCAUUUUUCUUCUCUUUAUCCUUCAUGCUGCUGCAAGAUGGGGAGAAGGUGAACAAUCAGUCCGGAGCUCUGAUUGCUUACCUUGUCUGUCACCUCUUUCAGCAGACCCCCUAGCUCGGCGACUUGGGGACUCCUACUACAUGGUUUGUAUCGCGCUUGACCAAGCCUGAAACUACAAGUAAGCUUCAAGUGAAAUUGAUACAUUACCUUGUGCAUCUCCACCAGUUAAAGAUACCACCCCUGGAUGGAGGAAGAGUACUUCCAGAGAAGAUGCCACAUCUACCUAUGAGACAGAUAAGGCAAGUCAAGACGACACCACACUCCGAUACUUAGAAGUUUCGUGAUUACGAGAUCAUUCUCCCACAAUAUUUCCUAAUGUCAUUUGUACUAAAUCAUUCACUUGUACUCACUAAAGGAGAGCUUGAACCUAUGUACUUGUGUAAACCCUUCACAAUUAAUGAGAACUCUUCUAUUCCGUGGACGUAGCCAAUCUGGGUGAACCACGUACAUCUUGUGUUUGCUUUCCUAUCUCUAUCCAUUUAUAUACUUAUCCACACUAAUGACCGGAGCAAUCUAGCGAAGAUCACAAAAAGCGACCGUUUUCGCUACCUAGGAUCUAUCUUGCAAGAGAACGGAGAAUUAGAUGGAGAUCUCAACCAUAGAAUACGAGCUGGAUGGAUGAAGUGUAAGAGUGCAUCCGGCGUGUUGUGUGACCGUCGUAGGCCACUGAAGCUCAAGGGAAAAUUUUAUAGGACGGCAAUAAGGCCAGCGAUGUUGUAUGGCACAGAAUGUUGGGCGGUGAAGCAUCAACACGUACACAAAAUGGGUGUAGCGGAGAUGAGGAUGCUUCGUGGGAUGUGUGGGCACACGAGAAAGGAUAAGAUUGGGAAUGAGGAUAUCCGAGGUAAAGUAGGAGUAGCCGAAAUUGUAGGAAAGAUGAGAGAAAAUCGGCUCCGGUGAUUUGGACAUGUGCAAAGAAGGCCGAAUGACGCUCCGGUUCGAAGAUGUGACUACGGGACAGAGGUUCAGGGCCGAAGGGGUAGAGAAAGACCUAGGAAAUCUUUGGAAGAGACUCUAAGAAAAGACUUAGAGUACUUGGAUCUAACGGAGGAUAUGACACAAAACCGAGCGCAAUGGCGUUCUAGGAUUCAUAUAGCCGACCCCACUUAGUGGGAAAAGGCUUUGUUGUUGUUGUUGUUGUUAGUUUUCGAACAUAUUAGGUUUGUAACUUAUUUUUUCGCUUUUGGGUUUGUUACUUAUUUUAUUUUGGUUGUAUGUUAAUUUAACUUGGUAUGAAUAAUUGCUAUUUCAAUUUGUAUGAAAUUUGGGAAUACUGAACCAUCCCAAAAUACUGAAAAUAUUUCGAGAAUCUCGAAAAUUGGAAAUACCGAAAUUUUGGUUUGGGAUUGGUCUUCAAAUUCCAGUCCUGAAAGUUUUUAGUUUGGGAUUCGGGUUCCCACUUUCGGUUUGCAAUCCCAUACCGAACCUAAUAUAUUGUAUUGCUCUUUCUCUCUUCUUUGUAUCGUUAUAUAUUGUAUGAGUAAUGUUACACUUACCAUAUAUUUGUACUAUCCCUCUAAUAGAUGUAGGGUCCACCAACACUUGUGGGUAUCAUCUCUAUUACAGAGAUAAUACAAAUAAUGAUACAAGGAUGUGGUAAGGGUAGAAUUUUGGAUACAAUAUUUCUUAUAUAUUGUAUUUUUUGUUGCGAGUAAUGCUACAUUUACCAUAUUUUUUAUACAACAUUUAUACCAUUUUUCUAAUAAAGGAGGGUCCACCAACACAUGCGUGUCUCAUUUCUAUUAGGCCUUCCAUGGUAGGCAGAUCGAAAAAAGUGAGUGUGAUACCAAUAUAUUGAACCAUAUAGGAAUCACACUUUUAAAGUAGGUCAAAAAAUUUGAGUGUAAUACCAAUUUAUUGAACUCAUAAGUUCAAUUUAUCACACUCAUGAGUGUGGUAUCAAUAUAUUGAACUCACACCAGUCUAACUGUAGCAUUAUAAAAAUCAAACUCAUGAUGCAUGAUGCAUGAUUCCUAUAUAUAGGUAUUACACUUACUGGAACCACUGUAGAAGGCUUUAAAGAGGUGGUACAAAUAUGGUAUGAAAAAUGUGCUAAGAGUAGCAUUUUUGUUGCAAAAUAAAUAUUUGGAACAUCCACUAUUUUUCAUAUGGGGUAAAAAUCAAAGAACAUUAUGUAAAUGUACUUGAAAUAGAAAUUGUAAGGGUAGUUCAUCUAAAUUUUCAGUCUUAAAUAGUUCGGCCUGCUUGAACGAGCCGGAGAACGAACUGGAAAAAUACCACCAAAAUCGUGUCACGUUUCUCUAAUUCUAUGUUUGGACGAAGGACUUUCAAGGUGUCGUUUUAAAAAGUUCUCUCUUAUGUUGUGCAUUCCUAAAUAAUUUAGCCUAUGCCCAUGAAACUUUCAAGUCAGAAGUUCUAAAAACCCUUGAAAACUCUCACAAUGACUAAGGAAUUGGGUUAUAAAAGCUUUGAAGUUUGGUAUAAAAUUUCUAAAUUUUUUAGCAGUGCAAGAAACAUCAUAUUUUUCAUAAAAAGAUCUCUCAUUUCAUUACAUAAACUUAGAUUUACAAAAUUACCUGAUAUUUACACGCAAGUAGAAAAAAUGUACUGCGAGGCCGGGAACGGGCUUGGUAUCGGACCCCUGCGAUACGGUGAGUUCGACAAAUCCGGGUGAGACCAUGAAUCAUAUUGAGAUAACACAAGUUGACAUGAUCCAGUUUUCAGAAAUCAUUCAACUCCAGGUAAAACCAUAACCAUUUUAAUGCAGAUAUCUUAACUAGAUGCUAGAAGAGUAUCCACAAAAAUAAAAUUGGGUACAAAAUACUUACAUUUUUAUUUGAGGUACCAACAAACACGACUGCACGAACCCUCCAUAAAAUUUACCAAAGGAGUCCUUUUCUGCAGCACAUGAAGAUGCAUCGAUACGAAUAAGCUAGGCACCGUCGUUGUUCUCAAGUAAAUCCGGGACCAGGAAAGUUCCUUUGAGCACCAAAAGGCCACAGCCUGCUUAAGCCAAAAUCCAAAUUAGACUCCCUUUUUUCGGUGCAUGUAAGCCUCACCUUAUCAUAGAGUAUGGUGUAGUUUGAGCUGCUUAUGUUUCUGAAAUAACAUGAUUGGGGACCAUCGAAUCUAUACACUUGCUGUGUACUCCCCAAUCCCCUAACUAGCAGAUUGUUUUUUACAACGAUAAUAACCUCGGCAUUUUGCAGAUUUUGGAGAGAGCUGUUCGAGAAUCGUGAACCAGCACUUGCAGACUUCUUCUCAAUAAAUCCCAAUUCGACAUUUGUAACGACUGUAUAUGAUUCAUUUGCUUGCUCCAUGUAGUCAGUGUACAAGUAAAGAGGAAAUGUUUUGUUUGAUGACAUUGAGUGAAUACUGGAGGAUGGCGGCCUGAUAUUGAUUGUAUCGUUGAAAUGGAUGACCUGAUUCACUAUCUGUGUAUUACCAUCAUUCCUCAUGACCAUUGUAUUGCUGUACUGGAAGUCUUGAAUUGCAUCAGUUGUGAUAUUCCCAUAGGAGGACUUCACCCAUCCAGUCGAUGACACAGACCUGCCGGCCCUAGUAAAAAAUGUGCCAUUUAAACCCUUGAAAUCUGAAACCAAUGAAACAACAAGGGGCAAGCUACUAUGCUUCAAAAGCUCACCUUCAGUUUUCGUGCUCCGCUUGUCCAACCAAAGAUGCAAAUUCGCAUCAAGAAGCCAAACAUUCAAGGCAUUUGUAACACUAAAACCAAACUUGUGUCUCUUCCCAUCCAAUAUCUUCCCUAAGAAGGGCGUGAUUUCAAUAUCAUAAGAAGGGAGAUCGAACGAGCCAAUUGCAGUAAUAGGUCUCCACAGGAGCGGAUUGACCCCUCCAGUGAAAAUCACAGUAAAAGGCCAGACUGCACCAACAACCUCACCAUCUAAACUCACCACAACCUCCCUAAAAGGCCCAUUUCCAGGCGUACCACUAAGAUUGUUUGCAGCAAUGUACUCAUUCGGAGGAUUUGAAUACCAAAACUCAUCAUUCUCAUGAAAUGAAACAUACACCUCCAACACAGCCCUAUAAGCAUUCUGUGGAAUCUCAAAUUCCUUCAACUGUGUAUCGGUCGAAUUCUGGAUUUCAAACCACAACCCAUCAUUCAAAGGCUGAUUUCUCGAAAUGGGCAAGAUUAAAUCGGCCCAAGAAUGGUACCCAGAAUCCAAAUUUACCAAAUUUUGCUCAUAGUUAUAAUUCAAAUUCUUCUCAGCAGGGUAAAAAUGGAUGCUAAUAUUCACAUGGUAAAUCCCAGUAUAUGUUUCAUUUACUAAAUUCCCAAGAUAAACAGCUAGUGUUUGAUUCUUCUGAAGCAAAGAAUAGUACCUUGUGAUGUCCUUCUUGACACUCCAAACAAUCCCAGUCUGCGUCGGCUCAGCCGUGCAGCCCCUGAGAAGCUCAACGCCGCCGAGCCAAACCCCGAAAAUUCGAUCAUAUUGCCUCCCUCUGCAGGUGGCUUUCCACUCGAGGACAAUUUUGGAAAAUGAUUGAGAUGGGCAGUGCGAGGGAGGGUUGUAGUUAGCAAAGACCGGAGGUUUGCCGUAUGUGUACCCGAAGUCGUGCUGGAGAACGUGCUGGGUGCAGGGCUUGGUUUUGGGGAGUUCUAUGGGUUUGGUUACUUCGAAGAAGAGAGUUGGUGCGGCGUCGUUUCGAAGGGUGGGCUGGGAGAGGAGCUCGGAUCGGAGGAGGUUGAGUUUGUGGACAUUGGCGGCAGAAAAGAGUGGUUGGUGAAGGAGGAGCGGGAGGAGGAGGAGGAGGAGGAGGGCCAACGGAGAGCCCAUGAGUGACUGGCUGGUGGUCUAGCUGU
rnacentral:lncRNA from 1 species